GUAGCAAUAGCCUAAUGGUUAACACUCUUGUCUGUCACCCAGCAGACCUGGGUUCAAUCCCCACUCCCUGCU